UACCUAAACCUUCGGGCAUGGUAGAAAAAACAGUCAAAAGCGUAGAAACCUCUCCGUCAGGUAACUUUUGACUGUCAUGACUGGAAACUAUCAUGGGGUAGAAAUACCU
rnacentral:ncRNA from 12 species